rnacentral:rRNA from 1 species
UACGUAGGUGGCGAGCGUUGUCCGGAUUACUGGGCGUAAAGCGCGCGCAGGCGGCUGGCCAAGUCCGAUGUGAAAGCUUCCGGCUUAACUGGAAAACGGCAUCGGAUACUGGUCGGCUGGAAGGUGGGAGAGGGUAGCGGAAUUCCAGGUGUAGCGGUGAAAUGCGUAGAUAUCUGGAGGAACACCGGUGGCGAAGGCGGCAUCCUGGACCGGUAGUUGACGCUGAGGCGCGAAAGCCAGGGGAGCAAAGCGGG